rnacentral:rRNA from 1 species
UGACCGCUGGCGGCGUGCUUACCACAUGCAAGUCGAACGAAGCACUUUAUUUGAUUUCCUUCGGGACUGAUUAUUUUGUGACUGAGUGGCGGACGGGUGAGUAACGCGUGGGUAACCUGCCUUGUACAGGGGGAUAACAGUUGGAAACGGCUGCUAAUACCGCAUAAGCGCACGGCAUCGCAUGAUGCAGUGUGAAAAACUCCGGUGGUAUAAGAUGGACCCGCGUUGGAUUAGCUAGUUGGUGAGGUAACGGCCCACCAAGGCGACGAUCCAUAGCCGACCUGAGAGGGUGACCGGCCACAUUGGGACUGAGACACGGCCCAAACUCCUACGGGAGGCAGCAGUGGGGAAUAUUGCACAAUGGGCGAAAGCCUGAUGCAGCGACGCCGCGUGAGCGAAGAAGUAUUUCGGUAUGUAAAGCUCUAUCAGCAGGGAAGAUAAUGACGGUACCUGACUAAGAAGCACCGGCUAAAUACGUG